CACGUAGGGACCAAGCGUUGUCCGGAUUUAUUGGGCGUAAAGAGCUCGUAGGCGGUUCAGUCAGUCGGGUGUGAAAACUUCGGGCUUAACUCGAAGCAUGCAUCCGAUACUGCUGUGACUUGAGUCCGGUAGGGGAGUGGGGAAUUCCUGGUGUAGCGGUGAAAUGCGCAGAUAUCAGGAGGAACACCGGUGGCGAAGGCGCCACUCUGGGCCGGUACUGACGCUGAGGAGCGAAAGCGUGGGUAGCAAA
rnacentral:rRNA from 1 species